rnacentral:misc_RNA from 1 species
GAAAUGCGAUAACUAGUGUGAAUUGCAGAAUUCCGUGAAUCAUCGAGUCUUUGAACGCACAUUGCGCCCCCUGGUAUUCCGGGGGGCGUGCCUGUCCGAGCGUCAUUGCUGCCCAUCAAGCACGGCUUGUGUGUUGGGUCGUCGUCCCUCUCCGGGGGGGACGGGCCCCAAAGGCAGCGGCGGCACCGCGUCCGAUCCUCGAGCGUAUGGGGCUUUGUCACCCGCUCUGUAGGCCCGGCCGGCGCUUGCCGAACGCAAAUCAAUCUUUUUCCAGGUUGACCUCGGAUCAGGUAGGGAUACCCGCUGAACUUAAGC